UGAGUUUGAUUCCCCGCUCAGGAUGACGCUGGCGGYGUGCCUAAWWCAUGCAAGUCGAGCGAACUGAUUAGAAGCUUGMUUCUAUGACGUUAGCGGCGGACGGGUGAGUAACACGUGGGCAACCUGCCUGUAAGACUGGGAUAACUUCGRGAAACCGAAGCUAAUACCGGAUAGGAUSUUCUCCUUCAUGGGAGAUGAUUGAAAGAUGGUUUCGGCUAUCACUUACAGAUGGGCCCGCGGUGCAUUAGCUAGUUGGUGAGGUAACGGCUCACCAAGGCAACGAUGCAUAGCCGACCUGAGAGGGUGAUCGGCCACACUGGGACUGAGACACGGCCCAGACUCCUACGGGAGGCAGCAGUAGGGAAUCUUCCGCAAUGGACGAAAGUCUGACGSAGCAACGCCGCGUGAGUGAUGAAGGCUUUCGGGUCGUAAAACUCUGUUGUUAGGGAAGAACAAGUACGAGAGUAACUGCUCGUACCUUGACGGUACCUAACCAGAAAGCCACGGCUAACUACGUGCCAGCAGCCGCGGUAAUACGUAGGUGGCAAGCGUUAUCCGGAAUUAUUGGGCGUAAAGCGCGCGCAGGCGGUUUCUUAAGUCUGAUGUGAAAGCCCACGGCUCAACCGUGGAGGGYCAUUGGAAACUGSGGAACUUGAGUGCAGAAGAGAAAAGCGGAAUUCCACGKGWASCGKUGAAAKGSGUAGAGAUGUGGAGGAACACCAGUGGCGAAGGCGGCYUUUUGGUCUGUAACUGACGCUGAGGCGCGAAAGCGUGGGGA
rnacentral:rRNA from 1 species